UUUAUAUUUUAGCACAUUCAUUUGAGUCACUUUGGUAAUGUUAUCUAAAAGAAGAAUCAGAACAUUGUCAAAUGGACUUUGUUGUGCUUAGUAUUUGUAUGAAGAAGAUAUCUGAAUCCAACUACUGUAUUGUGUUAUAAUAGUCGUUUAUUGCAGUUCAUAAUGGUGCUAUAUGUAUAUGUGUAAACAUGAAUUUGUUAUUUCUUUACAAUGCAAAGAAAUGGUGUAAUAUCUAUAUUCAGUUAUGUGGAGAGUGAAAAGUAG
rnacentral:lncRNA from 1 species